UGAAUCGUAGCCAAGCUGGUAAGGCAAUAGGUUUUGAUCCUAUGAUCCCUGGUUCGAGUCCAGGCGGUUCAG
rnacentral:tRNA from 1 species